CCAGACAGUUUUGUAAGUUACCA
rnacentral:miRNA from 14 species